GGCUGGGGCUGAGUGGUAGAGCGCUUGUCUCAUAUGUGAGAGGCACUGAGUUCAAUUCUCAGCACCG
rnacentral:tRNA from 1 species